rnacentral:lncRNA from 1 species
CCAAAUUUACACUCUCUGGGCAUAAUAGAACAAUAUAAUUAGAUUUGCGCUUUCUUCGAUGAAAUGAGAAAAGCACUCGUUGCAAAAUUAUACUGUUAUGGCGCAACUGAGUAGUCUAAUGUUGUUCCGGUUUUUGUUCUUGUGAGCGUUGACAUCGAUUCGUUCCAAAUUUACACCCUCUGGGCAUAAUAUUACAAUAUAAUUAGGUUUAAUGCUUUCUUCGAUAAAAUGAGAAAAAGUGCUCGUUGCAAAUUUAUACUGUUAGGGCGUAACUGAGUAGUCUCAUGUUGUUCCGGUUUUUGUUCUUGUGAGCGUUGACAUCGAUUCGUUCCAAAUUUUACACUCUCUGGGCAUUAUAGAACAAUAUAAUUAAAUUUGCGCUUUUUCGAUAAAAUGAGAAAAAGCAUUCGUUGCAAAGUUAUACUGUUAUGGCGCAACUAAGUAGUCUAUUGUUGUUCCGGUUUUUGUUCUUGUGAGCGUUGACAUCGAUUCGUUCUAAAUUUACACUCUCUGGGCAUAAUAAAUCAAUAUAAUUAGGUUUGACGCUUUGUUCGAUAAAAUGAGAAUAAGUACU